GAUGAACGCUGGCGGCGUGCCUAAUACAUGCAAGUCGAGCGAACAGACGAGGAGCUUGCUCCUCUGACGUUAGCGGCGGACGGGUGAGUAACACGUGGAUAACCUACCUAUAAGACUGGGAUAACUUCGGGAAACCGGAGCUAAUACCGGAUAAUAUAUUGAACCGCAUGGUUCAAUAGUGAAAGACGGUUUUGCUGUCACUUAUAGAUGGAUCCGCGCCGCAUUAGCUAGUUGGUAAGGUAACGGCUUACCAAGGCAAUGAUGCGUAGCCGACCUGAGAGGGUGAUCGGCCACACUGGAACUGAGACACGGGCCAGACGCCUAGGGGAGGCAGAAGUAGGGAAUCUUCCGCGAUGGGCGAAAGCCUGACGGAGCAACGCCGCGUGAGUGAUGAAGGUCUUCGGAUCGUAAAACUCUGUUAUUAGGGAAGAACAAAUGUGUAAGUAACUAGGCACGUCUUGACGGUACCUAAGCAGAGAGCCACGGCUAGCUACGUG
rnacentral:rRNA from 1 species